rnacentral:rRNA from 1 species
AUGGCCGUAGGUGCCGUUGGCGUUGAGGCUGGCCAUGGCUCCCCUUUGGCUUACGGCGGCGAGCUCACGUUCACCGUAGUCAUGACCUGCCUCGUGGCGGCCUCCGGCGGCCUCAUCUUCGGCUACGACAUCGGCAUCUCAGGCGGCGUCUCGCAGAUGAAGCCCUUCUUGCAGACCUUCUUCCCCACGGUGCUGAGGAGGAUGGCGGACGCGAAGCGGAGCCAGUACUGCAUCUUCGACAGCCACGCGCUGACCUCCUUCACCUCGUCGCUCUACAUCGCGGGGCUCGUGUCGUCCUUCGCCGCCGGCCGCGUCACUAGGUCGCUGGGCCGGCGCGGCGUGAUGCUGCUGGGCGGGGCGCUCUUCUUCGCCGGCGGCGCCAUGACCGGCGCGGCCAUGAACCUCGCCAUGCUCAUCGUCGGGCGCAUGCUGCUCGGCUUCGGCGUCGGGUUCACCAACCAGGCCACCCCGCUGUACCUCGCCGAGAUGGCCCCCGCGCGGUGGCGCGGCUCCCUCGGCGUCGCCUUCCAGUUCUUCCUCGCCCUCGGGAUCCUCAUCGCCAACCUCGUCAACUACGGCACCGCGAGCCUCGAGUGGGGCUGGAGGCUCUCCCUCGGCCUCGCCGGCGCGCCGGCCAUCGUCAUCUUCGUCGGCGCUCUCUUCCUCACCGACACGCCCAGCAGCUUCAUCAUGCGCGGGAAGGCAGACCUCGCCCGGUCGGCGCUCCUCCGGGUGCGCGGCGCCAGCGCGAACGUGGACGCCGAGCUCAAGGACAUCACGCGCGCCGUGGAGGCCGCGCGCAGCAGCGAGGAAGGCGCGUUCCGGAAGCUCCUCGCCGACCGGCAGUACCGCCCGCACCUGACCUUUUCCGUCGUGGUGCCGUUCUGCCACCAGCUCAGCGGCAUGAUGGUGCUGACCUUCUUCUCGCCGCUGGUGUUCCGCAUCGCCGGCUUCGGGAGCAACGCGGCGCUGAUGGGCGCGGUCAUCCUCGCCGCCGUCAAGUUCGGCUCGCUCAUCCUCUCCACGCUGGUGAUCGACCGCUACGGCCGCAAGGUGCUCGUCGUGGUGGGCGCGGUGAUCAUGGUCCUCUGCCAGGUCGCGAACGCGUGGAUCAUGGGAGCGAAAGCCGCCGACGGCCCGAUACCGCGGGCCUACGGGGUGGCGCUGCUGGCGCUCACCUGCGUGCAGGGCGCCGGGUUCGGCAUGUCGUGGGCGCCGCUCAUCUGGAUCAUCCCCGGCGAGAUCUUCCCGAUGGAGAUACGGUCGGCGGGGCAGUCGGUGAGCGUCUCCACCACGCUCGGGCUCACCUUCCUGCAGACGCAGACCUUCCUCGCCCUGCUCUGCCGCCUCAAGUACGCCACGUUCGCAUACUACGCGGCCUGGGUCGUGGCCCUCACGGCCUUCGUCUUGGUCUUCCUCCCGGAGACCAAGGGCGUCCCCCUCGAGUCCAUGGGCUCCGUCUGGGACCGCCACUGGUACUGGAAGAGGUUCGUCGGCGACGGCCACGGCCACGGCCGGCGCAAACCACCUUCAUCUCCGUCUGCAUCAACAUGA